CAAAGGUCAAGGUCACAGGGCCUUGACUUCAAAAAGCUCGUCCGCCCUAUAACUUAAGAUUCCUUUGACCCAUAGUCUUCAUAUUUAGCAUGGAGGUUAGUCAUGAUUAGUAGAUGACCCCUAUUGAUUUUGAGGUCAAAGGUCAAGGUCACAGUGGCCUUGACUCCAAAAAGCUUGUCCGCCCAAUAACUUAAGAUUCCUUUGACCCACAGUCUUCAUAUUUGGAAUCGAGGUUAGUCAUGAUUAGUAGAUGACCCCUAUUGAUUUUGAGGUCACCAGGUCAAAGGUCAAGGUCACAGGGACUUUGACUUCAAAAAGUUUGUCCACCCAUUUAUGACCCACAGUCUUCAUAUUUGGCAUGGAUGUUGAUCAUGACUAUAAGGUGACCCCUAUUGAUUUUGAGGUCACUGGGUCAAA